UUAUUCGGGGACGGCUGCAUGAGUGCCUAGAUGUCCUCUUCGCUUAACGCUCCGUACAGAGUGGAGACAACUGCGGCGUCUCCUAUGGCGUUGCCCACGCGAAUCAUGAACGCCGUGGUAGGCGCCUUUGGCGGAUACCGUAGGAUCAACACAGGAGGUAUUUCUCUCAGCAGCGCGUCUCCAGGUGCACACCGAUACCGCCAACUAUCACGUGGUCCUGAAGAUCGCUGCCCACCGGCAGGUCAGCAACAAUGGGGAUCUGCAUGCGCAUGAAAGCCGAUCAACAGUAAACUUCUUCCUGACCGAGUUGGUUUAUACAUAUUGAAGCCAUUGCAGCGGAAAGAAACACGGACAAUCAAAAGAACAGGACACCAUGCGCGCUAACGGUACACAGAACGCAUAAUGUGACCCAGUAAAAUAUCUGCGCGAAGAGCGACGGAAUGUUUUUCUGCUUCCGAAUUUAUUGAUUGAAGGAGAAGAAGGGGAACCAAGGGCCCCAUUUUUUGUAUGACGCCAACAGUUAUAGAUGCUAAGAAACGUAUAGGGAGAGUAGUUGUUAUUUUUAUUGAGCGCUGGAAAUAACAGGAUAAAAAUAAAUGAAAAUAUGUGCGUGUC